rnacentral:misc_RNA from 1 species
UCAACCAUCAAGCCUGGCUUGCUGUUGGACCAUGUAUAUGCUGGUAAUCGGCAAUAGCAGGUCUUCAAGGUAGCGGCGGUGUCGUGGUGGACCCCGGAUACAACGAGCUUUCUACAGCAUGUAUCAAGGUGGCCCACCGGUCCAGCCUCACUGGAAUCUCACAUCUCAA